GACGAACGCUGGCGGCGUGCUUAACACAUGCAAGUCGAACGGAAAGGCCCUGCUUUUGUGGGGUGCUCGAGUGGCGAACGGGUGAGUAACACGUGAGUAACCUGCCCUUGACUUUGUGAUAACUUCAGGAAACUGGGGCUAAUACCGGAUAGGAGCUCCUGCUGCAUGGUGGGGGUUGGAAAGUUUCGGCGGUUGGGGAUGGACUCGCGGCUUAUCAGCUUGUUGGUGGGGUAGUGGCUUACCAAGGCUUUGACGGGUAGCCGGCCUGAGAGGGUGACCGGGCACAUUGGGACUGAGGUACGGACCAGACUCCUACGGGAGGCAGCAGUGGGGAAUAUUGCACAAUGGGCGGAAGCCUGAGGCAGCAACGCCGCGUGCGGGAUGACGGCCUUCGGGUUGUAAACCGCUUUCGCCUGUGACGAAGAGUGAGUGACGGUAAUGGGUAAAGAAGCACCGGCUAACUACGUG
rnacentral:rRNA from 1 species